UGGGGGAUAUUGCACAAUGGGCGAAAGCCUGAUGCAGCGACGCCGCGUGGGGGAUGAAGGCUUUCGGGUUGUAAACCUCUUUCGCUAUCGAACAAGGCCCGCUUAGGGUGGGGUGAGGGUAGGUGGAGAAGAAGCGCCGGCUAACUACGUGCCAGCAGCCGCGGUAAUACGUAGGGCGCGAGCGUUGUCCGGAAUUAUUGGGCGUAAAGGGCUUGUAGGCGGCUUGUUGCGCCUGCUGUGAAAACGCGGGGCUUAACUUCGCGCGUGCAGUGGGUACGGGCAGGCUUGAGUGUGGUAGGGGUGACUGGAAUUCCAGGUGUAGCGGUGGAAUGCGCCGAUAUCUGGCGGAACACCGAUGGCGAAGGCAGGUCACUGGGCCAUUACUGACGCUGAGGAGCGAAAGCAUGGGUAGCGAACAGG
rnacentral:rRNA from 1 species